GCUAUGAGGAAAAUUUUAUUUCUCUGGGAGGUCGUUCUCUUGAUUUUCAUGCUCUUCUUGGCCUCUGCAAUGGGAUUAAGGGACCUGCUAGACUCUUCCAAGCCUAAUGCGACUGCUGUGGCGAAUGAUGCUCCUUGGGAAGGCAACUAUAGGGCUACGCCUCCUGCUGCUGUUCAUUAAUUAGCUUCUUCUAAUGCUUAAAUCAUUAAUUAAAAAUGAACAAUUAAUGGAGAUCAUUUGCUUCGAUAAUAGUAUUAAAUCUCUGCAUGGUUUUGUCAACUGGAGGUCAUCCACUAUCGAUAAUCUUCUAGCUGCUCGCGAAGUUUUGAUGAUAUUAGCCUUGUUUGAACUUGUAAUUGUAGCUUCAUUACAAUAAAUACGAAAAUGGACAAUUUUAUUAUUUA